CAAGAGUACGUGAAACCGCUUAGGGGUUAAGCCCGAUGAACCUGAAUAUCUGAAAUGAGAAAUUCAAUACUAUUUAUGAACGUAUGUUUAUAUAUUGUAUGCACUUUUCUCAUAGUAGGACAUUGCGAUCCAUUAAGUCGUCUAUGUUAAAUAGACAAUGUUUAUCAUACGGUCCAUAUUGCUCAGUUUAUUUAUUUUUAUAUUUAUUUAUAAAUUUUAGAUAAUGCUUUUGUGGUACCCGAUAAACAAUUGAUGGAGCUUAACAAUCAUGCCAACAUGCUAUAAUGUAUCACGGUGCUUAUAAUUUAUUUAUUUGCAUGCAGUGAUUGCAUGUAUUUGAUUAGCAAUGCGAUAGAUUUGGGAUACCUUCGGGACCCGUCUUGAAACACGGACCAAGAAGUCUAACAUGUGUGCAAGUCAUUGGGUAUCUAAUGUUGAAACCUAAAGGCAUAAUUAAAAUAACUAUAUUUUAAUGGGAUUACAAGUGAUAUAAUAUUAUCAUUUCUCCAUCCCGGGGCGUUCUAUGUUAACAUGAUUUAAGCAAUUAGAUCCUCUGUUAGUGAGCGUACCUUGAGCAUACAUGCUGUGACCCGAAA
rnacentral:rRNA from 1 species